rnacentral:snoRNA from 1 species
AAGACUAUACUUUCAGGGCUCAUUUCUAUAGUGUGUUACUAAAAUAUGCUGCAGAAUUUUAAGUGUAGACAAAGACACUUGCUGAAGU